UUAGCUGGUUGGCGGGGUAACGGCCCACCAAGGCGACGAUCAGUAGCCGACCUGAGAGGGUGGCCGGCCACAUUGGGACUGAGACACGGCCCAAACUCCUACGGGAGGCAGCAGCGGGGAAUAUUGCACAAUGGGGGAAACCCUGAUGCAGCAACGCCGCGUGAGUGAAGAAGUAUUUCGGUAUGUAAAGCUCUAUCAGCAGGGAAGAAAAAAGACGGUACCUGACUAAGAAGCCCCGGCUAACUACGUGCCAGCAGCCGCGGUAAUACGUAGGGGGCAAGCGUUAUCCGGAUUUACUGGGUGUAAAGGGAGCGUAGACGGCAUAGCAAGUCUGAAGUGAAAGCCCGUGGCUCAACCGCGGAACUGCUUUGGAAACUGUUAAGCUGGAGUACUGGAGAGGCAAGCGGAAUUCCUAGUGUAGCGGUGAAAUGCGUAGAUAUUAGGAGGAACACCAGUGGCGAAGGCGGCUUGCUGGACAGAGACUGACGUUGAGGCUCGAAAGCGUGGGGAGCAAACAGGAUUAGAUACCCUGGUAGUCCACGCGGUAAACGAUGAAUGCUAGGUGUUGGCGGGCAAAGCCCGUCG
rnacentral:rRNA from 1 species